rnacentral:tRNA from 1 species
GCUCUGGUGGCCUGGUGGUUAAGUGCUUGGCUGCUAACCAGAAGGUGGGUGGUUCAAAUCCACCAGCA